GGAAUCUUGCGCAAUGGGCGAAAGCCUGACGCAGCAACGCCGCGUGCGGGAAGAAGGCUUUCGGGCUGUAAACCGCUUUCAGCAGGAACGAAAAUGACGGUACCUGCAGAAGAAGGAGCGGCCAACUAUGUGCCAGCAGCCGCGGUGAUACAUAGGCUUCAAGCGUUGUCCGGAUUUAUUGGGCGUAAAGAGUUCGUAGGCGGUCGAGUAAGUCGGGUGUGAAAAUUCUGGGCUCAACCCAGAGACGCCACGCGAUACUGCUUAACUUGAGUUCGAUAGGGGAGUGGGGAAUUCCUAGUGUAGCGGUGAAAUGCGCAGAUAUUAGGAGGAACACCGGUGGCGAAGGCGCCACUCUGGAUCGACACUGAUGCUGAGGAACGAAAGCAUGGGUAGCAAACAGGAUUAGAUACCCUGGUAGUCCAUGCGGUAAACGGUGGGCACUAGGUGUGGGUUUCUAUUAACGAAAUCCGCGCCGUCGCUAACGCAUUAAGUGCCCCGCCUGGGGAGUACGGUCGCAAGACUAAAACUCAAAGGAAUUGACGG
rnacentral:rRNA from 1 species